rnacentral:rRNA from 1 species
CACGUAGGGCGCAAGCGUUGUCCGGAAUCAUUGGGCGUAAAGAGCUCGUAGGCGGUUUGUCACGUCUGCUGUGAAAACUCGGGGCUUAACCCCGAGCUUGCAGUGGAUACGGGCAGACUAGAGGUAGGUAGGGGAGAAUGGAAUUCCCGGUGUAGCGGUGAAAUGCGCAGAUAUCGGGAGGAACACCGAUGGCGAAGGCAGAUCUCUGGGCCGUAACUGACGCUGAGGAGCGAAAGCAUGGGGAGCGAACAGG